ACCUGUGCUCAACUCCCAGCCUAUUGCUGGUGAUCAGUGAAAUGCUGCUCAUUUUGCCUUCGAGACAAUUCAAAAUAAAGACUGCAUGGCUGACGGGGAGAAGCUGAUUGAGCUGACGAGCAGGAACAGCGAGCAAUAGGAGCAGGAGCAAGAACAAAGUCAGAGGAUCACGCAUUUCCUCGAGUCCUAUAACGCCAUUAUUCGGACGCUGUCUGAAACUUUCGUGAGGAUGGACGACAUUGUGACGCGAGCUGAGAUUGCGGCGCAGCCCAAGCGAUCCUUUGACUGAGCUUCUGUGAGAGCUUAACUUCUGACGUCUUCUCCACAAGUAUCGGCCUAAUUCUAGUGGAGAAUUUGAUUAUAUUCAUGCAUACAUAACCACGACGUCUUCUCACCAAGCAUCGGCCUAUUUUUUGUGGAUAAUUUGAUGAUAUUCAUGCAUUCAUGACCACGACGUCUUCUCACCAUGGAUCGACCUAAUUCUUGUGGAGAAUUUGAUAAUAUUCAUGCAUGCAUGACCACGACGUCUUCUCACCAAGCAUCGGCCUAUUUUUUGUGGAUAAUUUGAUGAUAUUCAUGCAUACAUGACCACGACGUCUUCUCACCAAUCAUCUGCCGAAUUGAUCUUGAUGAUUCGAUGAUAUUCAUAACUACACAGUCACGAUGUCUUCUCACCCAGCAUCGGAGAAAUCUAAUUCAACCAUAUUCAUUCAUAUAUGAAAGCCAUGUGAUUUAUUUAACCACAUGUUAAUAUAGAACAAUUUUCUUAAUAACUGGAGUAUAAUGGAGCAGUUCCAGAAAACGUUUGCUUGCUGUUAUUAUGUAGCGUAUUGCUGCGAGAUGAUAUUAGGUUUCCUGGCUGGGAUGUAUGGAAAACUGAUGUUCUAAAGCUGAAGUUUACCUGACGCAAAUUUCCGGCUGGGAAACAUAUAAGUUUAAAGUUGUACAAUUGUUUUAUUGAUAUCACUGAAAAAUUGUACUAAGUUUUGCACUCAAUAUCUCUAGUUGGUUUCAUUUAGUUACAAUUUUAAUACUGUAGUUUUCUCAUGAAAGACCAAUCUUAUUGUCUUUUGUAUCACUUCAAUGCUUUUAAUUUGUAUAUAAGCUGCCGCACUACAUCUGGUGUAACGAAGGUGUUCUUAUAAUGCACUGCUGAACAGUU